rnacentral:rRNA from 1 species
AUUGAACGCUGGCGGCAUGCUUUACACAUGCAAGUUGAACGGUAACAGGUUAAGCUGACGAGUGGCGAACGGGUGAGUAAUGCAUCGGAACGUGCCCGGUCGUGGGGGAUAACGCAGCGAAAGCUGCGCUAAUACCGCAUACGAUCUGAGGAUGAAAGCGGGGGACCGUAAGGCCUCGCGCGAUCGGAGCGGCCGAUGUCAGAUUAGGUAGUUGGUGGGGUAACGGCUCACCAAGCCGACGAUCUGUAGCUGGUCUGAGAGGACGACCAGCCACACUGGGACUGAGACACGGCCCAGACUCCUACGGGAGGCAGCAGUGGGGAAUUUUGGACAAUGGGCGCAAGCCUGAUCCAGCAAUGCCGCGUGCAGGAAGAAGGCCUUCGGGUUGUAAACUGCUUUUGUACGGAGCGAAAAGGCUCUCUCUAAUACAGGGGGCUCAUGACGGUACCGUAAGAAUAAGCACCGGCUAACUACGUGCCAGCCGCCGCAGUAA